UCCUGGUUACUUUGAGGUUGAGGUGCGUGGCCGGUUUUAUUUCUAAGCACUUGACUUAAAACCAGAUCUCUGUCCAUGAGAACGUGGCCUCGAGCAAACAGAGAGCACAGUUGACCAUGUCUGGAGACACUGACACGCCUGAAGCCUGAAUCCCACUGGGCCUGAAGUACUGCCAGAGCCUCCUCUACAUGGCUGUAAGUCGGUGGGCAGCAGGCACCAGGGCCCGGUGGUACUUAUUCCAAGGCUGCUCAGUCACGCAAUUUCCCAUCCAAGGCCGGUGGGUGCAAAUGCGGCCACGGGAAAUUAAAAGGUUGAGGCUCGGUGCCCCAGGUCCUAUUCCUGUUCGGCCACUGAUCCCAUCCCCUUCGGUGCCCGGUGCAGUCUCGGACGCUAAGCGACCUGAAGGCACGGCGCAGCAACUCUCCAGAUCUCCCACCCGACCCUUCUUGGAUUCCCACUCCCGCGCCCACCUGGCGACGAGUGCGCGCGCGCGCGGUCGGCGCUCUGUCCCUUUAAACAGCCCGCGGGCGCCUCCCCCGCGCCCCGCCCCCGCCGCGGUGCGGCCGC
rnacentral:lncRNA from 1 species